CAAUAGCGUAUAUUUAAGUUGUUGCAGUUAAAAAGCUCGUAGUCGGAUUUUGGCUGAGAACGAUCGGUCCGCCGUUAGGUGUGCACUGAUUGGUCUCAGCUUCCUGGUGAGGAGGUGUGCUUCACGGCCACUUAGUCACCGUGGUUACUUUGAAAAAAUUAGAGUGUUCAAAGCGGGCUUACGCUUGAAUAUAUUAGCAUGGAAUAACACCAUAGGACUCCUGUCCUAUUUCGUUGGUCUCGGGACGGGAGUAAUGAUUAAGAGGAACAGUUGGGGGCAUUCGUAUUUCAUUGUCAGAGGUGAAAUUCUCGGAUUUAUGAAAGACGAACUUCUGCGAAAGCAUUUGCCAAGGAUGUUUUCAUUGA
rnacentral:rRNA from 1 species